rnacentral:rRNA from 1 species
GAUGAACGCUGGCGGCGUGCCUAAUACAUGCAAGUCGAGCGAACAGACGAGGAGCUUGCUCCUCUGACGUUAGCGGCGGACGGGUGAGUAACACGUGGAUAACCUACCUAUAAGACUGGGAUAACUUCGGGAAACCGGAGCUAAUACCGGAUAAUAUAUUGAACCGCAUGGUUCAAUAGUGAAAGACGGUUUUGCUGUCACUUAUAGAUGGAUCCGCGCCGCAUUAGCUAGUUGGUAAGGUAACGGCUUACCAAGGCAACGAUGCGUAGCCGACCUGAGAGGGUGAGCGGCCACACUGGAACUGAGACGCGGUCCAGACUCCUACGGGAGGCAGCAGUAGGGAAUCUUCCGCAAUGGGCGAAAGCCUGACGGAGCAACGCCGCGUGAGUGAUGAAGGUCUUCGGAUCGUAAAACUCUGUUAUUAGGGAAGAACAAAUGUGUAAGUAACUAUGCACGUCUUGACGGUACCUAAUCAGAAAGCCACGGCUAACUACGUG